rnacentral:rRNA from 1 species
AGAGUUUGAUCCUGGCUCAGAAUGAACGCUAGCGGUGUGCCUGAGAUAUGCAAGUCGAACGGGAUUUAGUGAAGCCGCAAGGCAGAUCUGAAUUCAGUGGCGGACGGCUGAGUAACACGUAAGAAUCUCCCCCAGAGUCUCACAUAGCUCACCGAAAGGUGGGGUAAUUUGAGAUUGUCCCUGACGCAAGUUAGGGUAAAGCCGCAAGGCGCUUUGGGAUGAGCUUGCGUCCUAUCAGGUAGUUGGUGGGGUAAUGGCCUACCAAGCCUACGACGGGUAGCUGAUCUCAUGAGGAUGAUCAGCCAGAGGGGGACUGAGACACGGCCCCCACUCCUACGGGAGGCAGCAAUCAGGAAUAGUCGGCAAUGGACGAAAGUCUGACCGCGCGACACCGCGUGUGGGAUGAAGCUCCACAAGAGUGUAAACCACUGUGGUAGGGGAAGAGAAUGGACGGUACCCUACUAGAAAGUAGCCGCUAACUGCGUGCCAGAAGCGUCGGUAAUACGUGGGCUACAAGCGUUAUUCGGUGUUAUUGGGCGUAAAGGGUCGUGUAGGCUGAUGGGCAAGUCACUUUUUAAAUCUUUGGGCUCAACCCAAAAAUUGGUAGUGAUACUGCUCGUCUAGAAGUAUCUUUAGGGAGAACGGAACUGUGGGAGGAGUAGUGAAAUGCGUUGAUACCCACGGGAACACCAGUGGCGAAGGCGGUUCUCUAUGAGAUUCUUGACGCUGAGACACGAAAGUUAGGGGAGCGAAGCAGAUUAGAGACCUGCGUAGUCCUAACUGUAAACGAAUGUAUGCUGGCUGCAUGAUUUGUCACCUUCGGGUGGUAUUUCGUGUGGCGAAGGUAACCCGUUAAGCAUACCGCCUGGGGAGUACGGCCGCAAGGUUGAAACUCAAAGGAAUUGGCGGGGAGGCACACAACCUGAGGAACAUGUGGUUUAAUUCGAUACGAAACGAAGAACCUUACCAAGGCUUGACAUGCUACCGUACAGCUCGCUGGAAACAGUGGGCAAUCCGCAAGGAUGGUAGCACCGGUGAUGCAUGGCUGUCGUCAGUUCGUUCCGUGAGGAGUGCCCUUAAGUGGGACAACGAACGCAACCCCUGUCGUCUGUUACAAGUGUCAGACGAUACUGCUUCCGGUUUUCCGGGAGAGGAAGGCGGGGCAGACGUCAAGUCAGCACGUCCCUUAUGUCUUGGGCUACACACAUGUUACAAUGAACCUUAACAAUGAGCAUUGCCAGCCCGCGAGGGUCAGCAAAUCUCAGAAAUAGGUUCUCAGUGGGGAUUGGAGUCUGCAACUCGACUCCAUGAACUCGGAUUAGGUAGUAAUCGCGGGUCAGCUAUACCGCGGUGAAUACGUUCUUGCCUCUUGCACACACCGCCCGUCAAACCAACAAAGUUGGUAUUAUGUGAACUGCGGCGAAGCCGUGGGAGCAUAGUGCUAGCGAUGAGGGUUAAGUCGUAACAAGGUAACC